UACGUAGGGUGCAAGCAUUAAUCGGAUUUAUUGGGCGUAAAGGGCGCGUAGGCGGAUCAGCCAGUCAAUUGUGAAAUCCCUCAGCUCAACUGAGGAACGGCAGAUGAUACUACUGAUCUUGAGGGUAGGCGGAGAGAACGGAAUUCCACGUGUAGCGGUGAAAUGCGUAGAUAUGUGGAAGAACACCGGUGGCGAAAGCGGUUCUCUAGCUUACACCUGACGCUGAGGCGCGAAAGCAAGGGGAGCAAACAGG
rnacentral:rRNA from 1 species